UUUCUUUUUUAAAAAAAUCAUUUAACCUUUAUUUUAUUUUAUUAAUUAUUUUGUUGUUGUUGUUGUUGUUAUGUGGUGCUGAGGAUCGAACCCAGGGCCUCACCCAUCCUAGAAAAGGGCUCUUCCACUGAGCCACAAUCCCAGCCCCUCAUCAAUUUUAUUUUCAAGAGUAUAUAUUUGGUUUUCAUUGUCUGAAGUUCUUUCUUCUAAGUGGUCUAGUCUGUUGGUGAUACUUUUCAUUGAAUUUUAAUUUGAUUCAUUGUUUCCUUCAUUUUGAGGAUUUCUGCUUGAUUUCUUUUUAUAAUCUCUGCCUCUUUAUUGAAGUGCUGUUUCAUUCCUGUAUUUUCUCUCCAAUACAUCCUUUAUUUUGAAGAUCAGUAGAACUGUGUACCUUCUAAACUCCUACUCUGACAUUGCUUCUACUGUGGUUUCUAUGGAUUCUAUUGUUGGAACAUGAAAGUUUGUUUUAGGGACUUUGUUCCCUUGUUUUUUUCAUGUUGUUUGUGUG
rnacentral:lncRNA from 1 species